rnacentral:rRNA from 1 species
UACGUAGGGGUCCAGCGUUGCUCGGAAUUACUGGGCGUAAAGGGUUCGUAGGCGGUGCGGCAAGUUGGGAGUGAAAUCUCUGGGCUUAACCCAGAGGCUGCUUUCAAAACUGCCGUGCUCGAGUGCGAGAGAGGUCAGUGGAAUUGCAGGUGUAGCGGUGAAAUGCGUAGAUAUCUGCAGGAACACCCGUGGCGAAGGCGGCUGACUGGACCGACACUGACGCUGAGGAGCGAAAGCCAGGGGAGCAAACGGG